GCCCUCUUGGCUUAGUGGUAAAGCGUAUCACUAGUAUUCAGAUGCUAUGAUAAGAUCGCUCGUAAGCAAAGCUCUGUGCAUGAUGUAGAAGACAAACACUAACUUCACAAAGGUUCGAUUCGGGCAGAGGGCA